rnacentral:rRNA from 1 species
AUUGAACGCUGGCGGCAGGCCUAACACAUGCAAGUCGAACGAGUGGCGGACGGGUGAGUAAUGUCUGGGAAACUGCCUGAUGGAGGGGGAUAACUACUGGAAACGGUAGCUAAUACCGCAUACCAUCGGAUGUGCCCAGAUGGGAUUAGCAAGUAGGUGGGGUAAAGGCUCACCUAGGCGACGAUCCCUAGCUGGUCUGAGAGGAUGAACAGCCACACUGGAACUGAGACACGGUCCAGACUCCGACGGGAGGCAGCAGUGGGGAAUAUUGCACAAUGGGCGCAAGCCUGAUGCAGCCACGCCGCGUGUAUGAAGAAGGCCUUCGGGUUGUAAAGUACUUUCAGCGGGGAUGCGUUACCCGCAGAAGAAGCACCGGCUAACUCCGUGCCAGCAGCCGCGGUAAUUC